rnacentral:lncRNA from 1 species
CAAUAUUUACAGCAUGUACCAACACCGAAUGAGAACACUCGUACAUACAAUAUACCUACAUCAUGGAAAUACUCGAGUAUAUUUGAACACAUAAUGUGAAGCAAAAAGAUGAAGAGAAAGAAAAGGAGAAAAAAAAAAAGGACAAAUAAAUAAAAUGAAAAGCUACCAAAGUGACAAUUAUAUAUAUAGUUGACAUUAUACCGAACAUUAAAUGCAAUAAUUAUUAAAAAGGACAAAUCUAAUAAUUAUUCACCUAAAAUAAACAUUCAAUCAGAUAAUAAUUAAGGGGACGAAAAUAUAAAGUUAUUAGGGGUAAAAAAGGCAUUAAAAGUUUUUGACUCAUGUACUCAGGCUGUGUGCGUUUUUUUUUUUGUUUUUAAGUUCGGCUAAAAUAACGUUGUUUUGCACCAAGACAAACAAAAAUUUAAAAAGAAACCUGCCUAUAGCAGAGAGAAGCUAUGUCCAUGGAAGAGAGUCGUCUAUGGCUACUCUCCGAUGCGCUCUCCUCUUACAUACUCUUGUCUUUUUCACUGUGUAUUCUAUUUGAAGGAACCACUCGAUUGAAUCCAUUUGGUUUGCUUUUAGAAUUAUUAAUGAUUAUUUAAUGGGAUAUUUUACAGAAAGAUAAGCUUUUGAUGAGACUCUUCAACAACUUGAUCAACCAUUAAAAAAAACAGAAAUAUUUAUUCAAAAUCUCAUUUUAAUAUGACAUAUUAUAUAAAAAAAC